rnacentral:lncRNA from 1 species
AUUUAUGUCCAAAAAUCUCCGUCUUGUUAGCACAUGAUCUAAGCCAGCCGGACUUCUCGUCAUGAACGAGGGGAAAAAAUAUAUUUACGUUCGUUCAAACAUGUCAAACGUUGUAUAGCAUAAAUCAUUAGGGCCUUUUUUAACCAGAACAUGAAUAAUAUUCAAGGUGGACGAAUGCAUACUCUUUUAUAACGUAUUGGAACGAGGGUACCCAACAUGAACUAGCGCGCCAGGUGUCUAAUGGGACAUCACCGUUCCAUGGCUCUUGUUCGGUCAGAUCUCCCUCCAGAAGACUCAAAACACUUUGUAAAGGCUGGUGACAUCUAGUGGAAGCAAUAGGAAGUGCCAAAAUAUUCCUAAACCCCUGUGUUUUUCAAUGGCAUAGGUUUAAAGUCAAUACAACACAUCAGGUAUCCACUUCCUGUCAGAAAAUGUCUCAGGGUUUUGCCUGCCAAUUGAGUUCUGUUAUACUCACAGACACCAUUCAAACAGUUUUAGAAACUUUAGAGUGUUUUCUAUCCAUAUAUAAUAAGUAUAUGCAU